GCGGAUUGAGGCGGCUAGGGCGGCAUCAAUACCGUUGAAGGGCGGCGGCGCGGUGGCAGCACGGAGGUGCGCGUCGAUGCCGUAGAAGAGGGCCUCGUCGGCGAGCUCUUGUUUGGAGAAGCGGCGCGCGGUGGAAGGAAGGUGAGAGGUGCGGAGGAGCGAGAGGAGGACGGAGAAGAUCUCCGGGUCACGGUCGAUGAAAACCGGGUUCGGGUCGGCCGAGCGACGGUUCGAAAGGGCGUAGAGGAGCGAGUCGGGGCCGCCGGAGCGGAGUGUGGAUAGCGUUGUCUCGAAGUACUUUCC
rnacentral:lncRNA from 1 species